GAAGGGUGCAAGCGUUACUCGGAAUUACUGGGCGUAAAGCGUGCGUAGGUGGUUCGUUAAGUCUGAUGUGAAAGCCCCGGGCUCAACCUGGGAACUGCAUUGGAUACUGGCGAUCUGGAGUGCGGUAGAGGGUGGCGGAAUUCCCGGUGUAGCAGUGAAAUGCGUAGAUAUCGGGAGGAACAUCCGUGGCGAAGGCGGCCACCUGGACCAGCACUGACACUGAGGCACGAAAGCGUGGGGAGCAAACAGGAUUAGAUACCCUGGUAGUCCACGCCCUAAACGAUGCGAACUGGAUGUUGGGUGCAACUUGGCACUCAGUAUCGAAGCUAACGCGUUAAGUUCGCCGCCUGGGAAGUACGGUCGCAAGACUG
rnacentral:rRNA from 1 species